GACGAACGCUGGCGGCGUGCUUAACACAUGCAAGUCGAACGAUGAUGCUGGAGCUUGCUCCAGUUGAUUAGUGGCGAACGGGUGAGUAACACGUGAGCAAUCUGCCCUUGACUCUGGGAUAACUGCGGGAAACUGUAGCUAAUACCGGAUACUUUCACCGGGGGGCAUCCUCCGGUGAUGAAAGAAUUUCGGUCAAGGAUGAGCUCGCGGCCUAUUAGCUUGUUGGUGAGGUAACGGCUCACCAAGGCGACGACGGGUAACCGGACUGAGAGGGUGACCGGUCACACUGGGACUGAGACACGGCCCAGACUCCUACGGGAGGCAGCAGUGGGGAAUAUUGCACAAUGGGCGCAAGCCUGAUGCAGCAACGCCGCGUGAGGGAUGAAGGCCUUCGGGUUGUAAACCUCUUUUAGCAGGGAAGAAGCGAAAGUGACGGUACCUGCAGAAAAAGCACCGGCUAACUACGUGCCAGCCGCCGCCGUAA
rnacentral:rRNA from 1 species